rnacentral:rRNA from 1 species
AUGAGGAACUUGACAUCCAUGGGGUCUUCGAGGGUCGACGGUAGUGGUACUCGGUCGUUUCGAAGAGGUACUUGGGGUCUUCGAACUUGCCGAUCUCGUCAACUCGAAGGGGUACUUGGCAUUUCUGCUACCCGGGUCAUCGGCGACGGUAGUUGUUCUAUGCAUCAGGCGUCAAUGUACCUAUCGUUCUUAGCGAUUCCAAAGACGGCGGUAGACGAACAUGACGCGUCGUCGUGGUACUUGGCAAAAAUCUCAAAGAAGAUGCCUAACGGUCCCGGUUACAGGUCUAGGCGUCUCUCUUGCUGA